rnacentral:rRNA from 1 species
CCUACGGGUGGCAGCAGUGGGGAAUAUUGCACAAUGGGCGCAAGCCUGAUGCAGCCAUGCCGCGUGUGUGAAGAAGGCCUUCGGGUUGUAAAGCACUUUCAGCGGGGAGGAAGGCGUUAAGGUUAAUAACCUUGGCGAUUGACGUUACCCGCAGAAGAAGCACCGGCUAACUCCGUGCCAGCAGCCGCGGUAAUACGGAGGGUGCAAGCGUUAAUCGGAAUUACUGGGCGUAAAGCGCACGCAGGCGGUCUGUCAAGUCGGAUGUGAAAUCCCCGGGCUCAACCUGGGAACUGCAUUCGAAACUGGCAGGCUAGAGUCUUGUAGAGGGGGGUAGAAUUCCAGGUGUAGCGGUGAAAUGCGUAGAGAUCUGGAGGAAUACCGGUGGCGAAGGCGGCUCCCUGGACAAAGACUGACGCUCAGGUGCGAAAGCGUGGGGAGCAAACAGGAUUAGAUACCCGGGUAGUC